UACGUAGGGGGCAAGCGUUGUCCGGAAUCAUUGGGCGUAAAGCGCGUGUAGGCGGCUGACUAAGUCCGCUCUGAAAGCCCGGGGCUCAACCCCGGGAGGCGGGUGGAUACUGGUCAGCUCGAGUCCGGAAGAGGCGAGUGGAAUUCCUGGUGUAGCGGUGAAAUGCGCAGAUAUCAGGAGGAACACCGAUGGCGAAGGCAGCUCGCUGGGACGGUACUGACGCUGAGACGCGAAAGCGUGGGGAGCAAACAGG
rnacentral:rRNA from 1 species